rnacentral:rRNA from 1 species
UACAGAGGGUGCGAGCGUUAAUCGGAAUUACUGGGCGUAAAGCGUGCGUAGGCGGUUGAAUAAGUCGGAUGUGAAAGCCCUGGGCUUAACCUGGGAAUUGCAUUCGAUACUGUUCAGCUAGAGUAUAGUAGAGGAAAGUGGAAUUCCACGUGUAGCGGUGAAAUGCGUAGAUAUGUGGAGGAACACCAGUGGCGAAGGCGACUUUCUGGACUAAUACUGACGCUGAGGUACGAAAGCGUGGGGAGCAAACAGG